CCUUAGCUAGUCUUUCAGGGUCACCGGGAUGUCUGGGGAUGACCUUCUGCAGUCUUUGGAAGCCAUAAUCUAUGGUAGGUUCAUUUAAAGCUAAAAGGAAAACAAAAAAGCCCCGUAUUAUACAAGUAUGCAUCUUUGUAUUGACUCUAAGUUCCAUUACCUAAGAAAGGUGGAUUUCACAGCUUCUCCACAGAAAACCUCUCCUUGCCUGGGUUCCUUGAAGGUGCCCAUUGCCUACUGCUCAGGCAAGCCCUGACCGCUCUACGUAAGACAGGCUAAAUAACGAGCUAAGCUUUACAAGAACUUCUGCAUGAGGCUCCUUAAUCUCCUUUCCAAGGACACCGUUAGAUGUCCAUAGAAUCCCGUUGGCCUCACUCUUGCAGAAGUUUUCCAUCUGGGAACCUUAUGGAAAAGUCCACACCACGUUUCGGCGAUGAGAGGAGUUUGAUGGCUGAGUUGCAGCACCCUGAAUGAUAGCACUUAAGAGGGGAAACGCUGACAGAACCAUAACUACAGCAGUGCUAGCACAGCACACUUUGCAAGGAGCUGAUUAUAAAUGCACAUUACUGGACGCAUAUGAGCUCCCGUAACAGCUCCGCUGUGGCAUUUAGAUUUACCCUUGGAAUUUAUAUCUAAUUUUUAUAUUCAUCUUUUCAACGGUUUAUCAUUUUCUUCUUCAAACAACCUAUCUUACUGUGACUCUUAAAAAAAAAAAAAGAAGAAGAAGAAAUAAUCUCAGGUGUAAUCAGAAGAGAACUGGUGGUGUGGUGAUUGCAGGGUGUGCCUAGAACCUGAGAGAUCUGCUUCCUUGCCCAGCCAGCUCUCCUGCAUUACACAGGCAAGCAGGUCGUCUUCCCUCGUCCUGCUGGAACAUGGUCUCACCCACGAAAUGGAAGCGUGUGUCUUUCUGGAACAGGUUGCCCAUUCUGAUGCAGAGAGGCCCUGAUGAACCCACCAAAGUCUGGUUUUUGCCAAGUGCAAGCUGAAUGUAAAGGGAAGGUAUUUAGAGGAGAAAUUCUCAUUUACGGAGGCAACAACAGUUCAAAAGGGAAGUGAUCUUAUCUCCAAAGCCCCCUGCAUUCUCUGCAGAUGUUACCUACAAACUUUGCGACAGCUCGGAGGAAUAGAUCGCAAUAUAAAGCACUAAAAGUAUCAAGAAAAUAAUAAACUUCAAUUACCACAAAAAACCCCCAGA